rnacentral:rRNA from 1 species
CCUACGGGUGGCAGCAGUGAGGAAUAUUGGUCAAUGGACGCGAGUCUGAACCAGCCAAGUAGCGUGAAGGAUGACUGCCCUAUGGGUUGUAAACUUCUUUUAUAUGGGAAUAAAAUAGGGCACGCGUACCUUUUUGUAUGUACCAUAUGAAUAAGGAUCGGCUAACUCCGUGCCAGCAGCCGCGGUAAUACGGAGGAUCCGAGCGUUAUCCGGAUUUAUUGGGUUUAAAGGGAGCGUAGGUGGAUAGUUAAGUCAGUUGUGAAAGUUUGCGGCUCAACCGUAAAAUUGCAGUUGAAACUGGCAGUCUUGAGUACAGUAGAGGUAGGCGGAAUGCGUGGUGUAGCGGUGAAAUGCUUAGAUAUCACGAAGAACUCCGAUUGCGAAGGCAGCUCACUGGACUGCAACUGACACUGAUGCUCGAAAGUGUGGGUAUCAAACAGGAUUAGAUACCCGAGUAGUC